ensembl:lncRNA
UCUCUCCCAUCACCCAGGCGCGGCCGUCUCCCACUCCGUCUCAUCCCUUCACUGAGCCCCUUUCUGGUGGCCUCAGAUAUACCCCCAGCGUUUUGUUUUGUUUUGUUUUUUGUUGUUGUUGUUGUUGAGACACAAUCUUGCUCUGUUGCCCGGGCUGGAGUGCGUGAUCUCGGCUCACUGCAACCUCCGCCUCCCGGGUUCAAGUGAUUCUCCUGCCUCAGCCUCCCAAGUAGCUGGGAUUACAGGCACCCACCACUGCGCCCGGCUAAUUUUUGUAUUUUUAGUAGAGAUGGGGCUUUGCCAUGUUGGCCAGGCUGGUUUCGAACUCCUGACCUCAGGUGAUCCACCAACCUUGGCCUCCCAAAGUGCUGGGAUUACAGGUGUGAGUCACUGUGCCCACCUCCCCCAGCCAGGGUUUUUCUACAUCACAAUGGUGUGACCCAAAACCUUCCCAGGAGUGGAACGGGCUGGGACCACCAGCCAGGUCUCACCCAGGGACCACCCUGGGAACCCCAGGCACCUGUACCCACCUCACUCACUGCCUCUGACCAGGCACAGGAGCCAAGCUCCAUGCACCAAGGAUGGAAGAGAAAGCCUGGGAGACGUUGUCUCAGCAGAAUUUCUGUCUUAGAGGCCGGACCUCUCUGGCUAUGACGCCCCAGCAACUUUUAUAAAAAGUUACCUCAGUGCUGUGCUGCUCUCAGAGCUGCUGGGAUCAAAAGAACAGCUUUACUCAGGGGGAAAAGAUGAGGGACCAAAAUUGUCAGGAUAUGUACAGCCAGUUGGACAGCGCAGCUCUGCUGAGCUGGAUAUUUGGGUUUGGUUUUGUUGCGCCUUUUUUUUUCCUUGCUGAGAUGCUUGGAGGAGGUACUGUGGGGUGCAGACAGUGCCGCUCGGCAGGAGGAGGGAAGGAGAGGCCGCGGCUUCCUGUGAAAGAGCCGGCAGAAACCACCUACGCUGAUAACAGGUCCCGAGUUCAGACUCCUGCCUUAGCAGUUAAAGGCAGUGAUUUACUCUUCCAUCAGCAAUUGACAUUUGAGAAGACUACUAGUAGUCCUCAACGCUUUGAAACCAAUUACAUCUUUUAAACCUUUGCUCAUAUGGUACGUAACAAUAGUUUCUCAUUUUUAACACAUUUGUUUCUGGAAAGAAUGAACAUUUUUACUAUGUUUCUUAGUCGUUGGCAUUUCAAAUUUUAUAUAUAUAUAUAUAAUCUUUUGUCCAUUUUCCUAUUGAGGUCUGCCGUAGUCCAUUUUGUGUUGCUAUAAAGGAAUACCUGAGACUGGGUAAUUUGAAAAUACAAUAGGCUUAUUUGGCUUAGGGUUCUGCGGGCUGGAAGAUCGGGCAUCUGGAGAGAGCCUCAGGCUGCUUCCACUCAUGGCAGAGGUGAAGGGGAACUGGAGUACAGGGAUCACGUGGAGAGAGAGGAGGUAAAAGAGACAGGGAAGGUACCAGGCUCUUCCUGACAACCAGCUCUGCCAGGAACUAACAGGGGGAUGACUCACUUGACCCAGGGAGGGCUAUAAUCUAUUUAUGAGGAAUCUGCCCUCCUGACUCAAACACCUUUCACUGGGCCCCACCUCCCAAGACCCCCACAGUACAGAUUAAAUUUCAACAUGAGAUUUGGAGAGGUCAAACACCCAAACUAUAGCAGGCCCUUAAUGUUUCUCUUAUGAAUAUAAGUAAGAACCCUUCACAUAAUUUAUUAUUUGUCUUUGACAGUUGUAAGCUUUGCCUUUUCAUUGUAGGAUCCUUUUGAUGUACUGACGUUUUUAAAAUAUAUAUAGCCAAAUCUGUUGUAAAUAAAUAUCCAGAAGUCACAAGGAACUUAAACAAAUUAAUAAGCAAAAAACAAGCAACCCCAUUUAAAAAUGGGCAAAGGACAUGAAGAGACACUUCUCAAAAGAAGCCAUAUGCACAGCCAACAAGCAUAUGAAAAUAUGCUCAACAUCACUAAUCAUUCCAUCACUUUCAUGCCUAGAAUGCCCUUUACACCUAGAGGCAAGCAUUGACUUAAAUUUUCUCUUCUAAUUUUAAUAUGUUUUUUCCCCUAUGUCCCCUUUGCUUUGUGGUAUGAAUUUGGGUCCUAAACUGUCUAUUUUUUCACAAAGAAAAAGCCAUUUUUCCUACUGAUAUGUAUUCAGGGACCCCUCCCUCCUACUGAGCUGCCAUCCUGCCUGUAUAAAGGGUGGUUAUUUGGGUGACCCUCAAUAGAUCUCCCACCUCUCUGAACAGUGGCACUAUCAUGGUCAGUAAUUAUUUACGAUAUGUUCUGCCAUAUGUUUAAGCAAGUCCCCUCACUCAACUCCUCUGUCAUAAUUCUUAGCUAUUUUCACCUAUAUAUAAUUUCUAGAUAAACUUAAAAUUUAUUUUUUCAAGUCUUUUCGUCCUCCAAAAAAAAAAAAAAACCGGUUUAAGGAAAAGUUAAACUUCUAAGUUAGUGUUGGAAGAACCAACAUCUUCACAAUCUCCAGUUUUCUCCUUUCCUGCUGUGAUUCAGGCUCUCCCUGCAUGUGCUGAGCGGUGUCUGGGUGGGACAUGUGGGUCAUGGGGGAGCACUCGGCCUUGCCUUCCCAGCAGGGUUUUUACCGCUGGGGGAAGAAUAUGCCCAUGCUGGCUUUGAGGGCUCCCUGAAGCUGUGGGGUUCUCUGACAGAGCCGCGAGGAUGAGAUCCAUACAGCAAUUAUUCAGCUAAUUUACAAUCCGAGUGAACAUUUUGAUCUGAAUUAAUUUGGUAAAUUG